CGACCCCAGGUCAGGCGGGAUCACC
rnacentral:rRNA from 1 species